GGAGCAUGUGACUGGAAUCUUAUGAGCCUGGGAGUGUUGGAAUCUCUAGGAUUCAGUUGAGAGAGAAAUUGUCUCUCUGGAGCUGAAGAGGAAAGGAGAGAGAAGUGUGGCUGAAUCUGUCAGAAGAUCAGUUCCCAAAUUCCUUUGAAGACCCUUUGGCUGUGAUGAGGAUUUAUUCUUCAAUCAUCAGCUGGUCAGGGGUUUGAGGAGCUGUGUUCAACUUGGAGGAGUUGUCAUUUGUGGACAUUUCACCUUGGAUUCCUGUUUUGGCUCCCAGAGACUCUAUUGAGCAUGUGACUGGAAUCUUAUGAGCCUGGAAGUGUUGGAAUCUUUGGGAUUCAGUUGAGAGAAACUCUCUCUGAAGCUGAAGAGGAAAGGAGAGAGAAGUGUGGCUGAAUCUGUCAGAAGAUCAGUUCCCAAAUUCCUGUGAAGAUCCUUUGUGGUGAGGAUUUAUUCUUCAAUCAUCAGUUGGUCAGGGAUUAAGGAGCUGUAUUCAACUUGGAGGAGUUGCCAUCUGUGGACAUUUCACCUUGGAUUCCUGUUUCAGCUCCCAGAGACUAUGCAUAUAGGAAAGAGUCUACAUAAGCCCCAGAGGAAUGACAACUAUAAGGCUUUCUAGGUGGAGCAAGAGAAAGCACUGAUGGCUUAGUGGACGUCAUAUAAGCUCCUCGUACAAUUCCUGGCACAAAGCAGGUGCUCAAAUAGACAUCGGUUGGUUAAUGAGGAUGUGGUAUUCUGGACAUUAUUUUAGGUGAUUGCUCAUUGCCCCACAUUAAAAGUUCCCCAAUCUGCUCCAAUUUCCUCUUUCACAGUUUCAAGCAUUCAAUCCCACAAAGACCUAGUUUAAAAUGAAGAUAUGCCAGGGAAGCUAGAUGGCUCAGUGGAUGGAAAGCCAAGCCUGGAGCUGGGAGGUCUUGGGGUUCAAAUCUGGCCUCAGAUAUGAAGGUUUCAUGGUUUUAAUCUGGUCUCAGACACUCCCUAGCGUGUGCCCCUGGCCAAGUUAUUUAACCCUUAUUGCCUACCCCUUACCACUCUUCUGACUUAGAAUCUAUAUUAUA